rnacentral:rRNA from 1 species
GAUGAACGCUGGCGGCGUGCCUAAUACAUGCAAGUCGAGCGAACAGACGAGGAGCUUGCUCCUCUGACGUUAGCGGCGGACGGGUGAGUAACACGUGGAUAACCUACCUAUACGACUGGGAUAACUUCGGGAAACCGGAGCUAAUACCGGAUAAUAUAUUGAACCGCAUGGUUCAAUAGUGAAAGACGGUUUUGCUGUCACUUAUAGAUGGAUCCGCGCCGCAUUAGCUAGUUGGUAAGGUAACGGCUUACCAAGGCAACGAUGCGUAGCCGACCUGAGAGGGUGAUCGGCCACACUGGAACUGAGACACGGUCCAGACUCCUACGGGAGGCAGCAGUAGGGAAUCUUCCGCAAUGGGCGAAAGCCUGACGGAGCAACGCCGCGUGAUUGAUGAAGGUCUUCGGAUCGUAAAACUCUGUUAUUAGGGAAGAACAAAUGUGUAAGUAACUAUGCACGUCUUGACGGUACCUAAUCAGAAAGCCACGGCUAACUACGUG